AGCUGGGGAAAAACACAACAGAAGGCAGCGACGAACGGACAUACCGGCGAUAAAAUGGGGCUAGAGUUUGUCAUUUUGUUUAUUUAAUUUACUUUUUGAUUGAGGAAGAGGAGAGGCGGCUCCGGCGACACCGGCGGCUCGUUUAUCUCCGGCUGGGAGAGAGCCGUGGCGAGACCAGGCCCCUGUACUGCAGAAUAAACCUGGCUGUUCCGGUGCUGCAAAACUUCUUUAAUCAUGGUGACACAAGGCAAGAUUUCAGGCUGAGCAGAGUCCCUGGAGGCUGCCUCUCCUCAUCCUCCUCCUCAUGCUGCUCACCCACUACAACACCUGGCCCUGGUGUGUCCUCAGGGAUGGAGGCAACAGGACAGGAGGGGCAAUGGAAGGCCUCUGUCCUAAACCCUCAUCCAUGAGGACAAACCAGGGCCAGGUGGCAGCAGUGGGCUUCCUGCCGACCCCCUGACCUGUCCCUGGAUCUUUGCAUUCCUAAGGGAGAGGAAAUCAAUCACAACAGCAGCAGUUUUCUGCAAAGUAUUUAUUAAAAAAGUCUUGAAAAAGAAGUGCAUCAUGGACUCAAAAAGAGGUAUGUUUGAGGUGCUCUUUGGAAUGGGAUUCAUGUAGUGAUAAAGAAACAAACAAAAAACUCCAAGGCCUUGGAUUUUUUUCUCCCAAAGCAGUUAAAUGCCUUUAUUCUUAUGGCAUGGUCAUAUAAACCUUAAAAACACAGUCCUUCGACACGUUUCAGCAUCGAGCCUUCAUCAGGAAGUUAAACAGAUUCAAGGAAUAAAGAAUAAAGGCUCUGUAACUACUAUGGGAGAGUGCCUUGGAGUUUUUUCUACAUUUCUUUAUCAAAGUAUUAACUUGGGUAAAACAAAUGUAGUUUCCAUAUCAUUAUCCAAACCUGCACAUACUUUAUUUAUUUGUAUUUUUUUUAAGUUGUCCCACUUUUUUCGCCUGUUGAGGCUCCACUCUUCCCUCCAGGACCAUUUUAUGAAGGAUUGUUCUAAACGAGAGAAGCAUGACAAAAGGUAAACACACAUGAUCACAAAAGGUGACAUCAGGACAGAUAUAAAACUCCCACCCCACCUAAAAACAACCCUUUAGUAACGAGUUGUUUAUUUGGAUGUCACUUGAUUAUACUUUGAAUAAGAUAAUGUUAAUAAGCUAAGUCAUGUAAUGUUAGCCAUUUAACGGUAGUGUUCUUUCUUUCCAUGAAUGUUUUGUUGACACCAAACAAGAAAUUCGAGUUAGUAGUUGGAUUUGCAGUGUGCAUAACGGCUGACAUUAAAGAUUAUAUCCUAGUACCCACACUGCUAUUGCAAACAGCAGGCAUAUUUAUGAUUUUGACACUGAUAAAAGUCUGAAGGGGACUGAAAUGUAUGUGUAAUGUUAACGUUACUGUUAUGAACAGCGCAGUGCGAGAUUAUCAUCUAGAACAUGAUAAAGAAAUGUAGAAAUUGUGAAAGAAAGGCAGUGUUAUACUUCUUACAAGGUGUUAAAUUUUUUCAGUAUAUCACCGGUGUUGAGGUCAUGGCCACGUCUCCAACUUUUGGCUACUUGACUUUAGACAGCUAAUAUUACAUUGUCUUCCAAGGACAAAAAGAAAGCAUUUAAAAGACUGUCAUCUAUAUUUUGAGGUGUUGCUCCCUGUUUUAUUUUAUCCUACAGAUGUGACAUAAUAGGAUUGUCAACAAAAAGAACUGAUUUACCCUUUAUCGUUAACUUUCUGUUUUUCAUUACCUAAAGCAUUUAUUACACUCAUUUUACUUUUAUAGGCACAGUGUGGAUCAUUGGUGACAGCUAUGUCCGGCGUGGUGCCCCGAGAGCUGCACUGGUGUGUCAGUAAUUUCACCUUAUCAGGAAGAGUAUGGGGUGCCGUUUGUAAAGUGUCUCACUCUGAAAAUAACAUCAGCAUUUUGCCACAU